UGGGGAAUUUUGGACAAUGGGCGAAAGCCUGAUCCAGCAAUGCCGCGUGUGUGAAGAAGGCCUUCGGGUUGUAAAGCACUUUUGUCCGGAAAGAAGUGGCUCUGGUUAAUACCUGGGGUCGAUGACGGUACCGGAAGAAUAAGGACCGGCUAACUACGUGCCAGCAGCCGCGGUAAUACGUAGGGUCCAAGCGUUAAUCGGAAUUACUGGGCGUAAAGCGUGCGCAGGCGGUUGUGCAAGACCGAUGUGAAAUCCCCGAGCUUAACUUGGGAAUUGCAUUGGUGACUGCACGGCUAGAGUGUGUCAGAGGGGGGUAGAAUUCCACGUGUAGCAGUGAAAUGCGUAGAGAUGUGGAGGAAUACCGAUGGCGAAGGCAGCCCCCUGGGAUAACACUGACGCUCAUGCACGAAAGCGUGGGGAGCAAACAGG
rnacentral:rRNA from 1 species